rnacentral:rRNA from 1 species
AUUGAACGCUGGCGGAAUGCUUUACACAUGCAAGUCGAACGGCAGCACGGGAGCUUGCUCCUGGUGGCGAGUGGCGAACGGGCGAGUAAUACAUCGGAACGUACCCAGUUAUGGGGGAUAACUAACCGAAAGGUUAGCUAAUACCGCAUACGCCCUGAGGGGGAAAGCGGGGGACCGUAAGGCCUCGCGUAAUUGGAGCG